ACCAGGGAGCUGAAAGAGACAGCAAUUUUAAUGAAUUAUAAUCACAGUAAUAGAUUGCUCAAAUAGCGUGUAUUGCACAUGUGUACACAUAUAUGCACUCUAUAUACACGUGUGUGUGUGUGUGUGUGUGUGUGUGUGAGAAGCGGUUUGAAAUUCGUAUUAUACACACCUCGGUAUUGUCACAACAUGACAGCAUAGAGAGAGAGAGAGAGAGAGAGAGAGAGAGAGAGAGAGAGAGAGAGAGAGAAAACAGGAAAUCGAGGAAUGUGCUUCGAUAUAUAUAUAUAUAUUUUUUUUACUUCUGCAUGUCGAUAUGACCAGAAGAGAAAGAGAAGAAAAGUAGGAAAGAAGAAAAAAGAGAAAGUACUAAAAAAAGAAAAACGCAAAAAGACACGUCCAAUCGAUCACGUACACAGAGCGGCGACAGCGACGAAACACCGAAACGAUGGAAAGGACGCCAUGUCUCGCAGUUUUUUUGGGGGAAAAACAAACAAACAAAAAAACAAAAAACACCACCACCAAAAAAACAAAAAAAGUCAAAUAUACCAAAAACCUCGGCGAUCGUCGGGGCACUACAUACACACGUCACGUGAAAUAUCAAUAAAUAUACAUAUUGACCGAUGAGCAGGAUAGUGCGAAAAGCUGACACACACUACUGUUCUCCCUGUGUCCACCUGCCACUGAUUUACUUAUUCAUUAUUUUAUUCGUUUAUUUAUUUAUUCAUUUAUUUAAAUUUGGUCUGCCUAUUGCUCUCGCUCCGAAAAAAAAGCAAAGCAAAAAAAAAAAAAAACAAACACCCAAACAAAUAGUGCAGACCGAACAUCCAACAUGGCUGUCCGUCUGACACACACACACACACACACACACACACACACACACACACACACACACAUAUUUAUUUGUUUCUUUUUCAACAGGUUUUAGACACGAACGAUGACGAGACACUGUCACAGUUACUGCCUGUUUUCACACACACACAUUUAAAUACAUAAAGUACGGCGUGUUUAAGUGUCACAUGACCAGCGGACCUUCCUGACCACGCCCACUGUUCUGGGAAAACAAACAAACAAACAAAAACGUCCCGUAAUACACGUGUGUGUGUGUGUGUGUGUGUGUGUGUGUGUGUGUGUGUGUGUGUGUGUGUGUGUGUGUGUGUGUGUGUGUGUGUGUGUGUGUGUGUGUGUGUGUAACAUUAACUGUAGUAUAAAAGGCACUGAGUUGGCCCACGUUCCGUUAACAAAUACAAAAACCAUCCACAUGUUUCAGUCAGUGAGACAGUAAUUAAAUCAGUGAUUGAGUCAAUGAGGCAGUCAGUGGGACAGAUGCUGAAAAAGUCAGUCAGAGAGUCAGUGAUUGUGUCAGUAAGUGACUUAGUGAGAGAGUCAGUGAGUCAAUCAGUCAGUGAGUCAGUAUGUGAGUCAGUCAGUGAGUCAGGGAGUUAAUAACUCAGUGAGUGAGUCAGUGAGAAAAUCAGCAAUAGUCAGUAGGACAGCCUUUAAGAAAGUUGGUGAGAAAGUCAGUCCUUCAGUCAGUUGAACAUUCAGUGAGACAGUGGAUCAGUCAGUGAGACAGACAGUAAGUUAAUGACUCAGUAAGUCAGUCAGUAAGUUAAUGACUCAGUGAGUCAGUCAAGUCAGUGAGUUAAUGACUCAGUGAUUCAGUGUGCUUUCUUCUUGAGUGUUCUUGUGCAUGAAGCGAUGUGUAUGUCUGUGUAAGUGUAUGUUUGUGUAUAUGUGU